GACGAACGCUGGCGGUGCGCUUAACACAUGCAAGUCGAACGGAAAGGCCUGCUUUCCCUUGUGGAUUGCGGGUACUCGAGUGGCGAACGGGUGAGUAACACGUGAGUGAUCUGCCCCCAACUUGGGUAUAAGCCUGGGAAACUGGGUCUAAUUCCCGAUAGGACUGCAGGGUGGUGCCUGUGGUGGAAAACGAUUUUCUAGUGGUUGGGGAUGAGCUCGCGGCCUAUCAGCUUGUUGGUGGGGUAAUGGCCUACCAAGGCGGCGACGGGUAGCCGGCCUGAGAGGGUGGACGGCCACAUUGGGACUGAGAUACGGCCCAGACUCCUACGGGAGGCAGCAGUGGGGAAUAUUGCACAAUGGGCGGAAGCCUGAUGCAGCGACGCCGCGUGGGGGAUGACGGCCUUCGGGUUGUAAACUCCUUUCGACCGCGAGGAAGCCACCUGGUUGGAAGGGUGGUGACGGUAGUGGUAGAAGAAGCACCGGCUAACUACGUG
rnacentral:rRNA from 1 species